UACGGAGGUUCCAAGCGUUAUCCGGAAUCAUUGGGUUUAAAGGGUCCGUAGGCGGUUUAAUAAGUCUGUGGUGAAAGCCCAUCGCUCAACGAUGGAACGGCCAUUGAUACUGUUAAGCUUGAAUUAUUAGGAAGUAACUAGAAUAUGUAGUGUAGCGGUGAAAUGCUUAGAGAUUACAUGGAAUACCAAUUGCGAAGGCAGGUUACUACUAAUAUAUUGACGCUGAUGGACGAAAGCGUGGGGAGCGAACAGG
rnacentral:rRNA from 1 species